GACGAACGCUGGCGGCGUGCUUAACACAUGCAAGUCGAACGGAAAGGCCCUGCUUUUGUGGGGUGCUCGAGUGGCGAACGGGUGAGUAGCACGUGAGUAACCUGCCCUUGACUUUGGGAUAACUUCAGGAAGCUGGGGCUAAUACCGGAUAGGAGCUCCUGCUGCAUGGUGGGGGUUGGAAAGUUUCGGCGGUUGGGGAUGGACUCGCGGCUUAUCAGCUUGUUGGUGGGGUAGUGGCUUACCAAGGCUUUGACGGGUAGCCGGCCUGAGAGGGUGACCGGCCACAUUGGGACUGAGAUACGGCCCAGACUCCUACGGGAGGCAGCAGUGGGGAAUAUUGCACAAUGGGCGGAAGCCUGAUGCAGCAACGCCGCGUGCGGGAUGACGGCCUUCGGGUUGUAAACCGCUUUCGCCUGUGACGAAGCGUGAGUGACGGUAAUGGGUAAAGAAGCACCGGCUAACUACGUG
rnacentral:rRNA from 1 species